UUUUCUACUUUUCCUUUAAAAAGAAAAAAAAAGUUUUUCGAGCCGGAGGUUCCAAGAACCGGCGGGAGGGGGGCGCGGCGGGGGCUUUUGCAGCCGGCGCUGGUCGGUUAUGAGUCACGAGCGGGCUAUAAAAGGGUCGCCGGUGCGCGGCGCCGGCUUCCUGCGCUGCAAACCAGGAAGGGGAAGUGUGUGGUUUAAGUUGCUUAUCCCUUAUCCUCUGGCUGCUGGAGGCUUGCUGAAGGCUGUAUGCUGUUAAUGCUAAUUGUGAUAGGGGUUUUGGCCUCUGACUGACUCCUACCUGUUAGCAUUAACAGGAUACAAUGCCUAUUACUAGCACUCACAUGGAACAAAUGGCCACCGUGGGAGGAUGACAAGACCAUGAGUCACUCUGCUGGAUGAACGUAGACUUCAGACUCUAUCAUUUAAUGUGCUAAUCAUAACCUGGUUACUAGGAUAUUCCACUGUGUUACAAUAAAUGUCACUUAAAAGAUUUAUCAGCAGUAUCCCAAACAACAUCUCAACUUCAAGCCCACAUGCUUAUUUUUAAUCUUGAAUGGAAAAUGAAACUUGUAUCAUUUUUAUUUCAAAAGUAUGUUCAUGACCAUUUUCAAUGAUUUCAAUGGUUUCAUGAUGAAACCAGAAUACAAAAUGAAUUCACUAAAAAGGACAUUUCUAUAAUAUUUCUGUGGUUAAAGUCCAGGACUGCCAUUCUCGACUGACAUCUAGAAUUAUCUGGAAUACCUCUUGUAAGACUUGGAAUUGGCAUUUUUUUCCACGUUACAACUUAUUAGUCAACUUUGAUUUAAAAUUUGUAACUCUUGUGUUUUAGUGUAAAGAAAAACUUGAGUCAACACUGAAUGACUUUUUUUUUAAAUCUAUUAGCCAGCUGUUGGUAGGUUACACCUUUAAUCCCAGCACUGGGGAGGCAGAGGCAGGCAGAUGGCUGAGUUGAAGGCCAGCCUGGUCUACAGCCAGGGCUACACACAAAAACGCCUUAUCAAAAAAUUAAGAAAAUAAGAUGAAGUAUUAAAAACUGACAUGACAAAUGAUUCCUGAGAGCUACCUACAUAUUCCUCACACGGUAUAAAUAUUUAACUUAGAAAUAUUCACAUUUGAAAUGAACCCCCAAAUCUAGGUUAGUGUUUACUACUUUUGCUCCACAGUAAAGCUGUGUAGUCAGGAGACCCACGUUUUCUAAGCAUUUCUUCAUGAAUGAGAUGAAACUUUACAAGGUUGGUGUGCAGCUUACUGGAGAUGAAUAACUCUUUGUAAGAUAAUAAAAUCCCACAGUGAUGUCUUAAA
ensembl:lincRNA Mir155hg Mir155 host gene (non-protein coding)